GCCGGGAAGGCAGUUUCAGGGCAGAAAGCAAAGACAUGGCGGCUCAGCUGGCAGAGGCAGGAGCCCCCUGGCUGUUAAGCAAAGACCCCUCGUGUGGCUGGUGUGUGGCAUCUUAUGAUUUUUAGGUGCAUCUGAAGAUGCAGCCCGCCCCCAGCAUCCUCUGGACUGGAACUCCUGAGGGCAUCAACUCUAUUUUCUGUCUCUUGGCUUCGGGCUGAUAGAGCUGGACUUCACCAGCAGAUUAGAUAGUGUGGGAACUUGAUGGAAGCCUUGGUGGCAAGUUAGCCAGAUCAGCCGACGGCAGUAAACAAGAAAGAAGAGGAGAGACCUGGGACCCCAAUCGGCUUUGUCAAGGUUGGAAUUGGGGACAUGAGGUCACUGGUUAGCAGUCUCUGGCCCACGGGUGCAGCUAGAUUCUGGGCAGUGGUUUCGGGGACUCUUCACUGUUUGAGGAGAAAGGUGUUCACAGCAAGAAUUAAUGUGGUGACUGUUUGGAAGACAUGAUCCGUAAGACAUGACUGAAAGAACUAAAAUUCAGAAGAAGGACUGAGUGAGCAUGGCUGUCCCCAGACACUGUGAAGGCCUGGCUCGCAGAAGGAGGAAAAUCUUGUAUCCAGGAACCAUAAAGUGAAACAGCCUGUGGUGGAUGUGCUGCAGAGACAGACUCAGGAAGGUCACAAGUUCAAGGCCAGUCUGAGCUACACCUUCGCGGGCUCAGCGCUUAAGAGCACCCAGGUUCAGCUCUAGCUCACAACCACCUGUAACCCCAGUU